GAUGAACGCUGGCGGCGUGCCUAAUACAUGCAAGUCGAGCGAACGGACGAGAAGCUUGCUUCUCUGAUGUUAGCGGCGGACGGGUGAGUAACACGUGGAUAACCUACCUAUAAGACUGGGAUAACUUCGGGAAACCGGAGCUAAUACCGGAUAAUAUUUUGAACCGCAUGGUUCAAAAGUGAAAGACGGUCUUGCUGUCACUUAUAGAUGGAUCCGCGCUGCAUUAGCUAGUUGGUAAGGUAACGGCUUACCAAGGCAACGAUGCAUAGCCGACCUGAGAGGGUGAUCGGCCACACUGGAACUGAGACACGGUCCAGACUCCUACGGGAGGCAGCAGUAGGGAAUCUUCCGCAAUGGGCGAAAGCCUGACGGAGCAACGCCGCGUGAGUGAUGAAGGUCUUCGGAUCGUAAAACUCUGUUAUUAGGGAAGAACAUAUGUGUAAGUAACUGUGCACAUCUUGACGGUACCUAAUCAGAAAGCCACGGCUAACUACGUGCCAGCAGCCGCGGUAAUACGUAGGUGGCAAGCGUUAUCCGGAAUUAUUGGGCGUAAAGCGCGCGUAGGCGGUUUUUUAAGUCUGAUGUGAAAGCCCACGGCUCAACCGUGGAGGGUCAUUGGAAACUGGAAAACUUGAGUGCAGAAGAGGAAAGUGGAAUUCCAUGUGUAGCGGUGAAAUGCGCAGAGAUAUGGAGGAACACCAGUGGCGAAGGCGACUUUCUGGUCUGUAACUGACGCUGAUGUGCGAAAGCGUGGGGAUCAAACAGGAUUAGAUACCCUGGUAGUCCACGCCGUAAACGAUGAGUGCUAAGUGUUAGGGGGUUUCCGCCCCCUAGUGCUGCAGCUAACGCAUUAAGCACUCCGCCUGGGGAGUACGACCGCAAGGUUGAAACUCAAAGGAAUUGACGGGGACCCGCACAAGCGGUGGAGCAUGUGGUUUAAUUCGAAGCAACGCGAAGAACCUUACCAAAUCUUGACAUCUUUUGACAACUCUAGAGAUAGAGCCUUCCCCUUCGGGGGACAAAGUGACAGGUGGUGCAUGGUUGUCGUCAGCUCGUGUCGUGAGAUGUUGGGUUAAGUCCCGCAACGAGCGCAACCCUUAAGCUUAGUUGCCAUCAUUAAGUUGGGCACCCUAAGUUGACUGCCGGUGACAAACCGGAGGAAGGUGGGGAUGACGUCAAAUCAUCAUGCCCCUUAUGAUUUGGGCUACACACGUGCUACAAUGGACAAUACAAAGGGCAGCGAAACCGCGAGGUCAAGCAAAUCCCAUAAAGUUGUUCUCAGUUCGGAUUGUAGUCUGCAACUCGACUACAUGAAGCUGGAAUCGCUAGUAAUCGUAGAUCAGCAUGCUCCGGAGAAUACGUUCCCGGGUCU
rnacentral:rRNA from 1 species